GGAAAUGCAAAAACAAACAAAUGAAAAGAAAUGAGAAAUGUUAAAAAAGGAUGUGUUAAGGAAGAUGUCGUGUGGGACUCAAUUUAUUUCAUUUCUAGUUAUGAUCAUACCAUCACGUGCCUCUAUCACUUCUCCACACCUUUUGUUUGGUAAUUCAAAAUGUGUCAUAAAAUUAAAAUGAUAGAGAUUCUAAUUUUCAUCCGA